GUUGUUAGUGUUCCGUAGCCGCUACCGACCGCAACGCCAUGAAGAUCUCUGCAGGUGUGGCCGUCGCCGUUUUCGCCGUCCUGGCGCUCUCGUCGCUCGUGGAAGCCCAGAGAGGGUGCUUUCCCGGGCAGCAGAGGAUGCAGGCGUGCAACACGUGCUUCUGCACCCCGACUGGAGUGUGGGCGUGCACGCGCAGGGGCUGCAUCGGGAAGAGAGAGGCGAGGUGUACUCCGGGCACGACGUUCAAGAACUAGUGCAACAGCUGCCGCUGUAGCGCCGACGGGCAGCAGGCGUUCUGCUCCAGGAAGGCCUGCCCUCCUGGUAGCGCCUGAAGAGCUGAGACGGCCGAAACGUUCAUGCAUACCGUGACCUAGGAACCGUAAUCUUCAAGAACAAGCUGUUGGUCCAAAGAAGUUGGCAGCCGUGUUGUCAGAAGUUCAGGCAAUCAUUCCCUGUUGCCGUCGCAGUUAUAGGAGAUCUGUGCGGCGAUGUGCUUCUUUGUAGCAUGCUGAAGUGUAUGCUCAGAACACAGCGUUUCAAGAGUCACAAUAAAUAAAUAAAUAAAUAUAGUCAAUCAUAA